CACAGUGGCUGUACUGGCUUGGUAAACCCUGCUCUUGUCAGAUUUCAGAAGCUGAGCAGGGCCAGACCUGGUUAGUACUUGGAUGGGAGACUGCUGGGGGUACUGGGUGCCACAGUGG
rnacentral:rRNA from 1 species